rnacentral:misc_RNA from 1 species
GCAAACUUGGUCAUUUAGAGGAAGUAAAAGUCGUAACAAGGUCUCCGUUGGUGAACCAGCGGAGGGAUCAUUACAGGAGCUUAAAACCUCCCAAACCCACUGCAAAUCUACCUUUUUGGUUGCUUCGGCAGGCUGCCCCAGGGCGGGGCUGCAGCCUGGUUACAGGCGCCUGCCGACGGCCUCUCAAAACUUUGCUGUAAACCUACUGUCUGAGUCUUGACAAAAAUGAAUCAAAACUUUCAACAACGGAUCUCUUGGUUCUGGCAUCGAUGAAGAACGCAGC